UACGUAGGAGGCGAGCGUUGUCCGGAGUUACUGGGCGUAAAGGGUGCGCAGGCGGUGUGCCAAGUUUGCGGUGAAAUCUCCCGGCUUACCUGGGAGGGUGCCGUGAAAACUGACACACUUGAGGCUCGGGGAGGGGCGUGGAAUUCCGGGUGGAGCGGUGAAAUGCGUAGAGAUCCGGAGGAACACCGACGGCGAAAGCAGCGCCCUAAACGAGUUCUGACGCUCAGGCACGAAAGCUGGGGGAGCAAACAGG
rnacentral:rRNA from 1 species